GACGAACCGUGCGAACGUUAUUCGGAAUCACUGGGCUUAAAGCGCGUGUAGGCGGGACGGCACGUCUGUCGCUGAAAUCCCCCGGCUCAACCGGGGAACGGGCGCGGAUACGACCGUCCUGGAGGGGCGUAGGGGGACCUGGAACUUCCGGUGGAGCGGUGAAAUGCGUAGAUAUCGGAAGGAACAUCAGUGGCGAAGGCGACUUUCUGGACAAAUACUGACACUGAGGCACGAAAGCAUGGGGAGCAAACAGG
rnacentral:rRNA from 1 species